AGAAUACCUUGUUGAAAACCGUUUAUCAUUUUCUUCUGCUCCUCGUUGGGUUCGACACUCUUCUAUCGAAAGGACUACCAUAGAUCGCCUGUACUCACCGCCGCCUCCGAUCGCCGCCAUGCUCACCACCACCUCUCGCUGACAGGGCUUCGCCCGUACAUCUGGCACGAAGGGCAGGCGGAUCCGGCGGGGAGGUGUAGAAGGGCUCCCCGUCAUCCGUUCCCGCCGGCCACGUAGCUGGCCGAUCCGAAUCUGGUUGCUGACCUCAGGCACAGCGGUGUGGUGAGGCUAGAAGGAGGGACGGCAUCCUCAUAUCGUCGGGCAAGGUCUGCUUACCUCAGCCGAGCAGCGCUGUUGAUCUUCAUGGCGAGGCCCUCCCAGUCGGCGGUGAAGUAGCCGGAGCUGGACCGAGGUCGAGCGCGACAAGCUACUCGAGGCGUGCAGCUGUUUCUGUAGUUCAAGAUUAAAGGCAAGAAUCAGGCAAAUAUGAUUAUGAGAACAAGGCUAAUGAUGGAGAACCUUCAUCUACGGAAGCUGAGCAGUCUAUUGGGAAAACUAAGUUUCAAUGUGCAUCCUGAGUUUCAGCUACCUGAAAUCAAAGGCCAAUUUCAGUCGAUCCCGAAGUAAACUACCACAUAAGACAAGGAACAGGACACAGUUAUUUUCUGGAUUUCCAGAAGACAAGGACCAGGACCACAGCAAACAUCCUUCCUAUUGUACAGGAAUUUGAAGAAAAAAGUACUGAUGCAACCAUGGAAGGGGUGGAAGGUAAAGCCAUUCUGAGGGAUAUAUGAACAGCGAAGAACUUAUUAACCAUUUUUUAUAAAACUUGAUGAUGAAUUGGUUACUAUAGUCCCAAAAUAAUUACCAUAUGUGAAGAAUAUUUGAAAGAGGGGGGGUUAUAUUUUCUUUGGAAGUGAGCUUAUUUGGAAGUAUCUUUAAGAAUUUGGUGGCAACAUAUGUUUAAUAAAUUCUUUUUGUGUGUGGCCAUGGUGUUUUCUUGCAUCACACUGUGUAAGCAUGUCUUUAUCUACUGAUUCUGGAUAUACCAUGAUGAAUAGUUUCUAAUUUCUUUCAAAAGUUGCUUUCAGAUUAACUGUGGUCAUUUGGCGUAAAAUAUUUGACGAUGGUUUUUUCUCCCAAACUGGCAAGGUUCUACUUGGUACUGAUUGCCAUACCUACACUGUUGGAUCCUUUGCCCAACUUGCAACUGGAAACGUGAAACAGUGAUGCAGAUUUUGUGAUAGAUCUGGAAAGGCCUUUCGGAAGGUGUGCAAACAUGUAUCAUUGUUUCAUUGGAAAUGGUAUAACAAUGGAAAUAAUAUGUACGAACCAAUCUUUGCAACGAACAAUAGUGCAUAUAUUGAGUGUUGUGUCAUAUUAGCACCCUUUCCAUUCUGGUGCGAUAAAUAUAGGUUCUUAGCAUGUUUUUACUUUCUGUCAUGGACAUCUGUCUCUUUGUCAUAACGUAGUGAUAUGUCUUCAACGUAUCUAUAAUUUUUUAUUGUUCCAUGCUAUUAUAUUAUCCAUCUAGGAUGUUUUAUAUGCAUUUAUAUGCUAUUUUAUAUGAUUUUUGGGACUAACCUAUUAACCUAGAGCCCAGUGCCAGUUUCUGUUUUUUUCUUGUUUUUGAGUUUUGUAGAAAAGGAAUACCAAAUGGAGUCCAAUUGAUGUGCUAAUUUUUGAUGAUUUUUUAUGGACCAAAAGAAGCCCCCGGAGUAAAAGA